CUCGUAGGCGGUUCGGCAAGUCGACGGUGAAAUCUCCACGCUCAACGUGGAGGGGUCCGUCGAUACUGCCGUGACUCGAGUCCGGUAGGGGAGUGUGGAAUUCCCGGUGUAGCGGUGAAAUGCGCAGAGAUCGGGAGGAACACCCGUAGCGAAGGCGGCACUCUGGGCCGGUACUGACGCUGAGGAGCGAAAGCGUGGGGAGAAAC
rnacentral:rRNA from 1 species